GACGAACGCUGGCGGCGUGCUUAACACAUGCAAGUCGAGCGGUAAGGCCCUUCGGGGUACACGAGCGGCGAACGGGUGAGUAACACGUGAGUAAUCUGCCCAUCACUUCGGGAUAACUCCGGGAAACCGGUGCUAAUACCGAAUAUGACCACUUCAGGCAUCUGAUGGUGGUGGAAAGUUCCGGCGGUGAUGGAUGAGCUCGCGGCCUAUCAGCUUGUUGGUGGGGUAGUGGCCUACCAAGGCUUCGACGGGUAGCCGGCCUGAGAGGGUGACCGGCCACACUGGGACUGAGACACGGCCCAGACUCCUACGGGAGGCAGCAGUGGAGAAUAUUGGACAAUGGGCGAAAGCCUGAUCCAGCAACGCCGCGUGAGGGAUGACGGCCUUCGGGUUGUAAACCUCUUUCAGCAGGGACGAAGCGCAAGUGACGGUACCUGCAGAAGAAGCACCGGCCAACUACGUG
rnacentral:rRNA from 1 species